GUCUGCGUAGCUCAGUAGGAUAGAGCACAGGAUUCCUAAAUGAAUUGGGCGCUUUGAGGAGAAAUCCUUAAAGUGGAUCUGCUCAAAUUCGGGGAAAGCUUCACAGGAAACUGUAUGCCAAUCCCGAGCCAAGCCUGUUUUUAAAAAAACAAGGAAGGUGUAGAGACUGAACGGGCAGUGCCUAAAAAGUGUAUACUUCACGGUGAAGAGACAGUCCAGACCACAAACAGCUUACAAUAACAAAGACUGGCGAUGAAAAUCGAAGUGGUAUGAAUCCUGGGGUCGUGGGUUCGAAUCCCGCCGUAGACACCA
rnacentral:tRNA from 1 species